CGCGGCCCACCCUUCGAUAAACUCAGGAGGGCCGACGGCCGGUCGGCCUUGCGAAGCUUUGCUUCGGGGGUGGACUUCUGGAUCGCGUAGCAGCGUUUGCGUCGGUAUCUGGGCUUGUAGCUCAGUUGGUUAGAGCACACGCUUGAUAAGCGUGGGGUCGGAGGUUCAAGUCCUCCCAGGCCCACCAUGUUACAUGAUAAGGGGCCGUAGUUCAGCUGGGAGAGCACCUGCUUUGCAAGCAGGGGGUCGUCGGUUCGAUCCCGUCCGGCUCCACCAUCGUGUUUUGGUGUAGAGACGGAUAUUGGCAAUCAACGAAAGAAAGAAACAAGUUUGCGGACUUUUAUGAAAGUCUGCCUGUUCUGUAUGAAAUCGUGAAGAGAAGAUGUAAUCGGAUCAACUAUCCAGUUGAUGUCGCAAGAGCUUGCUCAAGCCUUGCAUUAUGAUUGAUGUGUUUAACCGCCAUCACCGA
rnacentral:tRNA from 1 species